rnacentral:misc_RNA from 1 species
UGUCCUCAGAGCUGGUGGAGCUACAGG